rnacentral:rRNA from 1 species
AUUGAACGCUGGCGGCAGGCUUAACACAUGCAAGUCGAGCGGGGUGAUGGUGCUUGCACUAUCACUUAGCGGCGGACGGGUGAGUAAUGCUUAGGAAUCUGCCUAUUAGUGGGGGACAACAUCUCGAAAGGGAUGCUAAUACCGCAUACGUCCUACGGGAGAAAGCAGGGGAUCACUUGUGACCUUGCGCUAAUAGAUGAGCCUAAGUCGGAUUAGCUAGUUGGUGGGGUAAAGGCCUACCAAGGCGACGAACUGUAGCGGGUAUGAGAGUAUGAUCCCCCACACUGGGACUGAGACACGGCCCAGAAUCCUACGGGAGGCAGCAGUGGGGAAUAUUGGACAAUGGGGGGAACCCUGAUCCAGCCAUGCCGCGUGUGUGAAGAAGGCCUUAUGGUUGUAAAGCACUUUAAGCGAGGAGGAGGCUCUUUUGGUUAAUACCCAAGAUGAGUGGACGUUACUCGCAGAAUAAGCACCGGCUAACUCUGUGCCAGCCGCCGCGGUAA